rnacentral:pre_miRNA from 14 species
UUGUUCUGAAAGACCCCCAGAGUGGGGAGACCCUCACUCAAGUCUCGGUAUGACGAGACUCCCCAAGAACUCACAAGAGACC